CAGCAGCCACGGGAAUACAGAGGGUGCGAGCGUUACUCGGAAUUACUGGGCGUAAAGCGUGCGUAGGUGGUGGUUUAAGUCCGUUGUGAAAGCCCUGGGCUCAACCUGGGAAUUGCAGUGGAUACUGGGUCACUAGAGUGUGGUAGAGGAUAGUGGAAUUUCCGGUGUAGCAGUGAAAUGCGUAGAGAUCGGAAGGAACAUCUGUGGCGAAGGCGACUAUCUGGGCCAACACUGACACUGAGGCACGAAAGCGUGGGGAGCAAACAGGAUUAGAUACCCGAGUAGUCCCUGUCUCUUAUAC
rnacentral:rRNA from 1 species